GCACUCGGCGCGCGCCCGGGCUCCGCGGCGGCCCGUGCCCGCGGUCUCUCUGUCCUGCCCUCCUGCGGCCAUCGCGGGCAGAGCAGCGCGGCCGCUCCUCAGCCCUGGCCAGCCGGAGUCACCGCCGCCGCUGCCACCUCGACGGCGGGAGCGCAGUGGAUCUGCAGCGUGGAGGUAGGAGAUAGCGGGCGUGUGCAACCUGCGGUUUAGCGCGACAGGAGGAACCAGAACAGCCGGCGCCUCUGCAGAUCAGGGCUUAGCCAGCACCACUGAAAACCACCUGUUUUGUGUUUUGAAAGCCUGGAAGCACAUCAUCCUCCAGCCGCACAGACCUCCCACUGAGUCCCAAUUUCCUAUCCAAACUCCAGAUUUGAGUUCUCAGCUCACUUGAAGAACAGAAGAGCUCCGCUGCAUAUUCAGUCUGGUCUUGCCUUCCUGGCUGAACUUGCCAAUGGUCCCCCACUCCGGAGAGGAGUGAUCUUGUUAAGUCAUAAGCUUGGCAGGCCCUGGGGCCAUCCUCAGACUUGUCAGAGGUUAGAGUGCCUGCCAAGUCAGAGUCGUCCCUGCAGGACACCGUGUCGCCGAUCAGUCCCCUCAAGUGUUCUAGGAGUAAUUUUACAAGCAAAAACUAUGCCGUGUACUAUACAUUGAAAUCACAACCACGAGUUACAGGUUCACACACACGCACACAAAAGAAACUAUUGAAGUCUCUGAUUAGCAGUUUCUGAAUAUUUUGGUGAUGCUAAUU
ensembl:lncRNA